rnacentral:rRNA from 1 species
GACGAACCGUGCGAACGUUAUUCGGAAUCACUGGGCUUAAAGGGCGCGUAGGCGGCUUCCCAAGCCCGGGGUGAAAUCUUUCGGCUUAACCGGAAAAGGGCCUCGGGGACUGGGGGGCUAGAGGGGGGUAGGGGCAAGCGGAACUUCCGGUGGAGCGGUGAAAUGCGUUGAUAUCGGAAGGAACGCCGGCGGCGAAAGCGGCUUGCUGGACCCCAUCUGACGCUGAUGCGCGAAAGCCAGGGGAGCGAACGGG